rnacentral:rRNA from 1 species
CCUACGGGUGGCUGCAGUCGAGAAUCUUCGGCAAUGGGCGCAAGCCUGACCGAGCGACGCCGCGUGGAGGACGAAGGCCUUCGGGUUGUAAACUCCUGUCGAGGGGAAAGAAGGCGCAAGCUUGACUGAUCCCUGGAGGAAGCACGGGCUAAGUUCGUGCCAGCAGCCGCGGUAAGACGAACCGUGCGAACGUUAUUCGGAAUCACUGGGCUUAAAGCGCGUGUAGGUGGGUGGCCACGUCGGAUGUUGAAAUCCCACAGCUCAACUGUGGAACUGGCACCGAUACGAGCGACCUGGAGGGAGGUAGGGGGAGCUGGAACUUCCGGUGGAGCGGUGAAAUGCGUUGAGAUCGGAAGGAACGCCCGUGGCGAAAGCGAGCUCCUGGACCUUUUCUGACACUGAGACGCGAAAGCUAGGGGAGCGAACGGGAUUAGAUACCCUAGUAGUC